CGGGUUACGUCGUCGGCGGCAUCACCACGCGUCGGCUCUGGAGAACACCCCUUCGGGUGCCACCCGGCCGUGCCGCCCUGCUGGCGUCAGAGCAGCGACGAUGACGCACCGG
rnacentral:sRNA from 22 species